rnacentral:rRNA from 1 species
CUGCCAGUAGUCAUACGCUAGUCUCAAAGAUUAAGCCAUGCAUGUGUAAGUAUAAAUCUUGUACUUUGAAACUGCGAAUGGCUCAAUAUAUCAGUUGUAAUCUCUUCCGUAUUCCCUUACUACUUGGAUAACCGUAGUAAUUCUAGAGCUAAUACAUGCGUCAACACUCUGUAAGAGUGGUAUUUAUUAGAUAGAAA